UAGCUCUCCUGCUUGAUUAAUGAUGGUCACCAGUGGUUUACCCUUUAUUGCCAAUGCAAAAGGUGUUCACUGUUAUGCAGCAGAGUUGUGCUUGAACCACAAACUGCAAGGGACCUUAUGAUUAUCAUCUGGUGCAAAAAGCAAUACCAGUAAGCUGACCUGGGACACAUGUGAAGCACACCAAUGUCCUCCCAGAAAUCAUGCCUGAUGUUCCAGUUGACCUUCAAGCUACAGGAAGCUAGGCACAUUAGAUUUCUGUCGCUCUGCCUGGAUUUAGAAGAAGUCAAGUUUGUUUGAGUCAGAAGACAAGAGUGACAAAAAACUUCCAAUCAUAUGAUUAUUGCCAUUUGAGAACAGUCAAAAAGGGACCGGCAUUUGCAGUCUUCAUAUCAUUCUUAGAAAGGUCACGCUUUCAUUAAAUAAAUCAGUUUUCACGAGCAGA